rnacentral:rRNA from 1 species
AUUGAACGCUGGCGGCAUGCUUUACACAUGCAAGUCGAACGGUAACAGGCCGCAAGGUGCUGACGAGUGGCGAACGGGUGAGUAAUGCAUCGGAACGUGCCCAGUCGUGGGGGAUAACUGCUCGAAAGAGCAGCUAAUACCGCAUACGAUCUAUGGAUGAAAGCGGGGGACCGUAAGGCCUCGCGCGAUUGGAGCGGCCGAUGUCAGAUUAGGUAGUUGGUGGGGUAAAGGCUCACCAAGCCAACCACCUGUAGCCGGUCUGAGAGGACGACCAGCCACACUGGGACUGAGACACGGCCCAGACUCCUACGGGAGGCAGCAGUGGGGAAUUUUGGACAAUGGGGGCAACCCUGAUCCAGCAAUGCCGCGUGCAGGAAGAAGGCCUUCGGGUUGUAAACUGCUUUUGUACGGAACGAAACGGUCUGGGUUAAUACCCUGGGCUAAUGACGGUACCGUAAGAAUAAGCACCGGCUAACUACGUGCCAGCCGCCGCCGUAAGAC